AUAUACGCGAAACUUUUCACCGAUGAAAAUAUAUUAUACAGAUGUUCGAUAUCGUUAAACUAUAUAAUAUAUAUAUAUAUAUGAAUGUCCUUCUCGGAGAAAAUCUUGCCGAGUAGAGAGGACGGGGAUCGGGAACCGAGAAUUCAAGAUGUUGCAAUAAAUUGUACACAUAAGGAAGACACACGCUAUUGCUGAAGCGAUGACCGCGGUAAAAAGUCGUUUGACCACGCGCAUGCAACUGCAGCGAAACGUGUGUAUGUUCCUCCAAUAAAUGGAUCGUAUCCAAUCGAAUAGUUGUACACAAAACAGUAUUAAAUAAUGAACAAACGAGUGCUGUGGUGGCGUAUCAUCUGUGUAGAUCAUUGAUGCCCAACCCGUCGCACACCAAGGCCUCAGAAGUGGACCGCGGCCAAUUAUUAAGUUCAAACAAAAUACAUGAAAAAUACAAUUAUAUCCAAGAUAUUAAAAUUUAAUUUUUUUCCUAUUAUUUGUAAUUUAUUGCUUUUUUAUAAGUAUUAUUAGUGGCCUACAUUAAUGCAACAUUUUAUUCACAAUAGUAUAGAUUUUUAAAAUAUACCUUUUAUACCCAUGUUUGAUUAUGAUAAAAUUAUUAUUUUGAUUUUGUAUCACGCUCGAGACUAUUCAACGUUCCUAUAAUACGUAUUAUACAGUGCCA